UACCUGACAGAAACAUAAAUACUUCAAUCCCAAAGUACCACUGCAUUAAGUUAAUUAGGAAGCAUGCGUGAACAGGUUAUAACGCAAAUGUUUUGCAGGUUACUCCCAGCAUGGUGACAUGCUUACACAACCCAUGAAAAGGUUGUUCUGCAACUCUGAAAUUUAAGAAACUCAAAUCUGCCCAAGAUGCUGCUUCCCUGCAAACAACUCCCUAUUCUUCCCAAGGCGAAGCACAGCCGAGGCUGAGAUGAAACAAAAGGCGUGUCAUGGAGCAUGGUGACAAUGGCCGAUAUGUUGAGUUGAUCUAAUUUGUUGAACCAUAGCAAUGCACAAGUAUUUAGCUAGUAACAUAAGUGACGACAUUGGUGCAUCAGGAUCAACAUUUGUAACUGGACUCAGGUUAAAUUUGGACCCCAAGUCCCCAAACUCUAGCUCUGUUCAAAACUACAUAUAGUUAUAUGCUUCGCAUCCCAAUAUCAUACAAAAUAAGUUUCGUUUGA